UACGGUAGGGGACGAGCGUUGUCCGGAAUUACUGGGGCGGUAAAGGGCGCGCAGGCUGUAGAUCAAGUCAGCUGUGAAAUGUCUGGGCUUAACCCGGGCAUGCGGUUGAAACUGAUGUACUGGAGUGCUGUAGAGGCAAGUGGAAUUCCCAGUGUAGCGGUGAAAUGCGUAGAUAUUGGGAAGAACACCGGUGGCGAAGGCGACUUGCUGGGCAGCAACUGACGCUGAGGCGCGAAAGCCAGGGGAGCAAACGGGAUUAGAUA
rnacentral:rRNA from 1 species